GACGAACGCUGGCGGCGUGCUUAACACAUGCAAGUCGAACGGCAAGGCCCUGCUUUUGUGGGGUGCUCGAGUGGCGAACGGGUGCGUAACACGUGUGUAACCUGCCCUUGUCUUUGGGAUAACUUCAGGAAACUGGGGCUAAUACCGGAUAGGAGCUCCUGCUGCAUGGUGGGGGUUGGAAAGUUUCGGCGGUUGGGGAUGGACUCGCGGCUUAUCAGCUUGUUGGUGGGGUAGUGGCUUACCAAGGCUUUGACGGGUAGCCGGCCUGAGAGGGUGACCGGCCACAGUGGGACUGAGAUACGGCCCAGACUCCUACGGGGGACAGCAGGGGGGAAUAUGGCACAAUGGGCGGAAGCGUGAUGCAGCAACGCCGCGUGCGUGAUGACGGCCUUCGGGGUGUAAACCGCAUUCGGCUAUGACGAAGCGGGAGUGACGGUAAUGGAUAAAGAAGCACCGGCUAACUACGUG
rnacentral:rRNA from 1 species